rnacentral:rRNA from 1 species
ACGAAAAAUAAUUCGUAGCGAACGGGUGAGUAAAAUACAGAAUUUUGCCUUUUAGUUUAGAAUAAAAUAUAGGUAAAUUUAUUAAAUAAGAUUUUUUAUUUAUAUUAAUACUGAAUAAAGAGAUAUAAUAAAGGCUAUUUUUUAAAAUAAAAUAGUUGCUAAAAGAUAAAUCUGUGUAAGAUUAGGUAGUUGGUAAUGUAAUAGCUUACCAAGCCGAUGAUCUUUAGUUGGUCUGAGAGGACGAUCAACCACACUGGAACUGAGAUAAGGUCCAGGCUAAUUUUUUGGCCAGCAGUGGGGAAUAUUGGACAAUGAACGAAAGUUUGAUCCAGCAAUACUAUGUGAAUGAAGACGGCUAAUUUGGUUGUAAAGUUCUUUCAUUAAAGAUGAUAAUGACAUUAUUUAAGGAAGUUUUAGUCCCGGCUAAUCUCGUGCCAGCAGCCGCGGUAAUACGGGAGGGGCAAGCGUUAUCCGGAAUAACUGGGCGUAAAGGGUCCGUAGACGGUGAUGUAAGUUAUUUGUUAAAUCUUAAAGCUUAACUUUAAACUAGCAUUUAAUACUGCUUCACUUGAGUUUUUUGCAGAAGAAUAGAAUUUUAUAUGAAGGGGUAAUACCUGUAGAUAUAUAAAGGAAUAUCAUUAGCGAAGGCGAUUCUUUAGUAAAAACUGACGUUGAGGGACGAAAGUAUAGGGAGCGAACAGGAUUAGAUACCCUGGUAGUCUAUACUGUAAAUUCUGAGUGCUGUAAUUUAGAUAAAAUGUGCUAUUUUUAUUUAGAUUUUUUAAGCUAACGCCAUAAGCACUCCGCCUGAGGAGUACGAUCGCAAGGUUGGAACUCAAAGGAAUUGACGGGGGCCUACAACUAGUGGUGGAGCAUGUGGUUUAAUGCGAUAAUCCGCGCAAAACCUUACCAACCCUUGACAUAA